rnacentral:rRNA from 1 species
GAUGAACGCUGGCGGCGUGCCUAAUACAUGCAAGUCGAGCGAACAGACGAGGGGCUUGCUCCUCUGACGUUAGCGGCGGACGGGUGAGUAACACGUGGAUAACCUACCUAUAAGACUGGGAUAACUUCGGGAAACCGGAGCUAAUACCGGAUAAUAUAUUGAACCGCAUGGUUCAAUAGUGAAAGACGGUUUUGCUGUCACUUAUAGAUGGAUCCGCGCCGCAUUAGCUAGUUGGUAAGGUAACGGCUUACCAAGGCAACGAUGCGUAGCCGACCUGAGAGGGUGACCGGCCACACUGGAACUGAGACACGGUCCAGACUCCUACGGGAGGCAGCAGUAGGGAAUCUUCCGCAAUGGGCGAAAGCUUGACGGAGCAACGCCGCGUGAGUGAUGAAGGUCUUCGGAUCGUAAAACUCUGUUAUUAGGGAAGAACAAAUGUGUAAGUAACUAUGCACGUCUUGACGGUACCUAAUCAGAAAGCCACGGCUAACUACGUG